rnacentral:lncRNA from 1 species
CAGGAAAGUCAGACAUGAACUCAACUUCUCUGAAACUGCCUCAACUGGUAGGCUUUAACUGUUUGGCGUGUGUGUAGAUAUGUAAGCAUCCAGAUGUGUUUGUGUCUGUGAGUGGCCCCAAUCAUACCAUGUCAUACCUCAACAGCUCAAUGUGUUUGACUGCAUUUUUAAAACAGAUUUGUGUGGCAGCAGCAAAACAGCCCAACAGCACUUUGCCUGCCUCAGUGAGCACCCUGAAAGAGGUGUCCAUCCAGACGGAUGUGGUCCCCGCUGGCAAGCCCCUGGAGGAACACCUGAACAAGGAGCAACAGUCGAAUAACACCCAGGAGGACAUCCUGUUGAGGGUAAAUGAAAACCCAGUCUCCAUCGAGCACUUCCCGGAUGAAGGCCUGAAGAAGUUCAGCGGUGGGGAGGACAUCUCCCGGCCUCAGGGAAAAAGGCAGAAGAAGCAUGGGGGGUGCUUCAGAUGGAUUGGGGAGUGGCUGUCUAAGAGGAAGGGCGAAGAGAUGAGAGACAGAGGGAGGACGGACCAGAAGCCUGGCCCUAUGAUCGUCGUAAAGCCCAGAGACUUCAGCAUCAGGACUGAUGUGGAGGUAGGAGACCUCGGGGACCGUCUGCCUGAGCUGGAAGGACGCAAUCAGGUUUUAGGAAAAUGCCAGAACACACUCAGUCCUGAGAACACCAAAAUGGUCCAGAGCUUUGAUAUCCCCUGCCCAAUGACACCUCCCAGCCACACCCUUGCUUCCUUGGCCACUAUUGAGUACAUCCCUCACCCAAAUAGGGCACGCCUGGCUCCCAUCACUAAUGUGAGUGAAAAGGGCAGGAAGCUUCUUGUGGAACUUGCCAGAGAUUCCCAACGGGUGAGUUCCAGGAAGGAGAGACGGGUUGUCAUGGAGGGUUGUAAUGAAGUUUUCCCUAGAUGCUGGUCUUGGAUCAUUUUUGCAUUGUCUCACCAAAUGGUUAAGGUUAGGAGCGGGGAAGUGGAAACAUCCUACAUCUGUUCACCUAGGGGAACUCACAACUUCUGUUGAGUUAACUGUACGUUGAGUAUGUUUCUUUUCUACAUAUAGCCCCAUGAGACAAACCAAACUGUCAAAGACAUCAAGAAGGCUAAAAAACACAGAAAACGAAAGAAGGGGAAAGCCAUUGAGAGACAGCAGGAGAAGGUUGUGGGGGCCAAGGAGAAAAAGCACAUCAAAAAGGACAAAAUCAGUCUGAGGAAGAGGUGAGGACACAAAGAGAAAAUUUGAAUUGCAAUAUAGGGGACAUUCAUGCUGAAUAUGA